GGGAUUAAAUUCUGCACAUAUAUAUACCUAUAUAUUAUUCUCUCUGAAUUUACAACAUGACAACGUUCCCUUCAUUGAUGGGUGCGGGCUCCAUCCUAAAACGGCUCAAAUUUUCAGUAUAUAUAUAUUUUUUUUUCUUUGUUUGAAUCGAACCGAUUUUUUUUUUUUACCUGAAUCGAAUCAAUCAUUAUUGAGUGUGGGCUCUAGCGAACCGGUUUAAGUUUUUCACAUAUUUUUUUCUUUCUUUACUUAAACCAAACUGAAUUUUUCUUUAUUUUGAUUGAACCGAGCUCGAUCACAUCUCUGCAUUAGGCUGAACUGUUCCUCUUCCACUUCCUUCGGCUCUUCUCUUCUUUUAUCGGCAAGAUGAAUUCUACUCCUUAUCGUCAAUUAAUUUUUUCAUCAUCGUUUUCUCUUUUUUUGUCGUUAUUUUCUAUUUUCUUUCUAAUUAUUUAUCCGUCGCAUUUGGUUACUGUACC
rnacentral:lncRNA from 1 species